AUUGUACUCCCUCCGUUGCACAAUACAUGCCUUCUAUUUGUCAAAAUAUAUAUGUAUCUAGACAUGUCUUAGUAUAUAGGUACAUCCAUUUUUGGACAAAUGGAAGUCAAGUAUUUUGGAACGGAGGGAGUACACA
rnacentral:pre_miRNA from 1 species